rnacentral:rRNA from 1 species
GACGUAGGGGGCCAGCGUUGCUCGGAAUUACUGGGUGUAAAGGGUUCGUAGGCGGUGUGGCAAGUCGGGAGUGAAAUCUCUGGGCUCAACCCAGAGUCUGCUUCCGAAACUGCUGUGCUUGAGUGUGGGAGAGGCGCGUGGAAUUGCAGGUGUAGCGGUGAAAUGCGUAGAUAUCUGCAGGAACACCCGUGGCGAAAGCGGCGCGCUGGACCACUACUGACGCUGAGGUGCGAAAGCGUGGGGAGCAAACAGG